UAAUCUAGUUUUCUUUCAUUGCUCAGGUUUUUGCAGUUGACUGGAGUCCUGACGGACAGAGAGUGGCCAGUGGUGGAAAAGACAAGUGUUUAAGGAUAUGGAGGAAGUAACCCAGAGAAACCAGCGGCUCCUGGCUCUGCAUGCAACAGCCAAUCAGGCGUCUCAAAGCAUCACCCCACAGCAUGGUGGACAGCAGUGUCGGAGCAUUAAGCCUUAGCCUAUUUGUCCAAUGAAACCGCUUCGACAGCAUCACAAUAGCUGAAAUAUAAUGCUCUCUGAUGUUGUCGGGCCAGAUAGCGGGAAGAUAAAACGCUGCCUUUUUUGCCCCACUCAAAUAAGCAAUUGCCCUGUGGAAGUGCAGGCGAACUGACCCAGUCUAAUCAGUGUAAUCUUUCUCACACACAUUUGUAAUUAACUUAAUCCCUAAUGCUGCGAUACAGGCGGCAUUAACUGGGUCUGUUCCAGUGCCUAGAGAUAACCAGCGUCGUCACAGUGGACCGUACUACGUCAGCAGAUGUUUUCUCAUUUAACAAGCAGUAAAAGGAUUUUUAUGGGA